rnacentral:rRNA from 1 species
AUUGAACGCUGGCGGCAGGCCUAACACAUGCAAGUCGGACGGUAGCACAGAGAGCUUGCUCUUGGGUGACGAGUGGCGGACGGGUGAGUAAUGUCUGGGGAUCUGCCCGAUAGAGGGGGAUAACCACUGGAAACGGUGGCUAAUACCGCAUAACGUCGCAAGACCAAAGAGGGGGACCUUCGGGCCUCUCACUAUCGGAUGAACCCAGAUGGGAUUAGCUAGUAGGCGGGGUAAUGGCCCACCUAGGCGACGAUCCCUAGCUGGUCUGAGAGGAUGACCAGCCAAACUGGAACUGAGACACGGUCCAGACUCCUACGGGAGGCAGCAGUGGGGAAUAUUGCACAAUGGGCGCAAGCCUGAUGCAGCCAUGCCGCGUGUAUGAAGAAGGCCUUCGGGUUGUAAAGUACUUUCAGCGGGGAGGAAGGCGGUGAGGUUAAUAACCUCACCGAUUGACGUUACCCGCAGAAGAAGCACCGGCUAACUCCGUGCCAGCAGCCGCAGUAA